AAAAACCAGAACUGAACCACCCUAAGCAGAAUUUACAAAACUGACAGUGUUCUUCUGAUAGUAAAUGAGCUGCCUUCCACACUCUUCUUGGACAGCGUUGGGCGGGGCUGGUCUCCUGAGUCUCCCAAUGGAGAGACGUUCGCUGGCGCUGGGAGUGGGAGCCCUGCCUCGAGCGCCAGGCACACCCCAGCCAGGGCUCCCAGAAGAGGGAACACACUUCUCUUUGGCUCCCUUUCUCCCGCCCAGAUGGCGUAGCUCAUGAACCGCAGCCUCCGAUGCCGACUUGUGGAACGCAGGGUGAGGGAGGCUAAAGGAGCCACCUGCUGCCCACUUAUUUCUCGGUAAAGAGCUGACUUCAGUUUGAAACCAACGCCCCACAUGGAUCCUGAGUGCAGAUGAACGUGGCCCCUGGCUCUGGUGCCAUGAGACCACGUGGAGGCUGUUCCUGCUGACAAUUCCCUGACAGUCUCUGUGAGCCUCUUCUCUUAAAGGACUUCUACUGACCAGAAUCAUCUUUGCGAAUCUCCUCAGAAGGUGUCUUCCUCCGCCUCAGGCUGCUGCAGAGAAUGGUGAAGAGGCGGGACCCUGUCUGCUGCCAGACCCUUCCUGGAGGCCCCAGCUGGCGGCUUGGCAGAUCUGCUGGGCUCCAUCUUUGCUCAGGGGCCGAGUCUCAGUGUUAGCAUGGUUUGCCAUCGGGAAAGGACGGGAAUUUCCGAGUGUCCUGCACACAGUAGCACGAGUGGCAGGAAGGACAUCAGCGGCACCUGUGAAACUGGGUUUGUUGCCCAGCUCCUGGGUUACACUUUGUUCUUUCUGGGUACUGUGGGUGGCAGUGGUGCAAAACCCCUUGCCGUUACGGAACCUCCAGCAGCAGGCGUCCUCCUGUCAGCUGCACAGGCAGACUUCCCACGGUCUGUUAGCUUUUGGUGACACCUCAGAAGUCCCCAUAGCUUCUCUUCACUGCCAGAUCCAGUGUGUUAAGUCACCUUCUGCUGUGACAAAGUAUCUGAAACUGUCAGUUUAAAAGGAGGAGUUUUACUUUUGGCUCAGAGUUUCAAGUCUUCAGUUGAUGGGCAGUUGUGCAUUGCUCGUGGGCCAGUGGCAGGGAGUGGGAUGAGAAGUUGCUCACCUCAGGCCGGCAGGGAGCACAAGAGACAUGGAAGGGGCUGGGGUCCCAGUGUCGGCUUGAGGCCACGCCCCCUGUCACCUCACUUCCUCCCACCUGGCCCUGCCUCCUGAGGCUCUAACUCCUCCCAAUAGCAGCACAGGCUGCCGACCAACCCUUCCACAAAUGGGCCCCUGCGGAACAUGACACACAGCUUCUCCCACAUUGUAGGCGUUUGUUAUAGUCUGACCCCACUUCCCUAUUCCAAAGUUUGUUAUUUACUGUUGCAAAACAAUUGACCCCAAAGGUCAGAUGCUUAAAACAAUGAUAAACAUUUAUUUAUUCAUUUUACUACUGGGGCUUGAACUCAGGACCUUGUGCUUGUGAGGCAGGCCUGGUGCCACUGAGCUAAAUCCCCGGCCCCGAUAAACAUUCAUUACCUCACCCAAUUUCUGUGGGUCAAGGGUGGGUGGUCCUGCCUCAGGCCCUCCCGUGAGGUGGCAGCUGUGACGUCAGCUGGAGUGGUGGCCCGAGGCUGCGUGGUGUCCAGCCUGGCACGUCCAGCAGGUGGCAGGUGGCUGCUGGCGGGGGCCUGGGUCCCUCCAUAGCAACCCACCAGGCUUUGAGCCUCUCUGGGGGAUAUGAGGGCAGGCUCAGGAGCUGAUGCUGUCGCUGUGCCCUGCUGAUUGUGGGAGGGCGACACAGUGCACCCCCAGUCACAGGAAGGGGUCAGCAAGAGAAUCUGUGGUCCUGGACAUGUAUGCCCAGGACAAAGAGAAGAGAAAACCCCCAAACAAAACUCAAGAGCAUGUGCAGAAGCACGUGUGAGCGCCUGGGGAGAAAGCGCAAAGAGAUGAAAGUGUCUCAACCAAGUCAGAGAAGUGGAAUGCUAUGAUCGGCGGGUAAGAGUCUGCUUCCCGCGUCUCACUCCUUUCCUGAUGUAGGUAGGACCUGGGCCUUGUGCCUGCUUCCUCAGCCUUCUUUUCAGUUUAUUGUAAUUCGUCUGAAAAUGUGUAAUGAUGAAUGUGACCCGGCCUGACCACAGGGGUGGCGAGGCCAUGCUGCUGGCUGAUGUCACGGGACUCUAGGGCCUGGGUUUGUACCGCUGAACGACGCCUUGCUCAGUGUUUUCAGCUUUUCCUUUUCUCACUCAAUCUUAUGUUUCUGAGAUUUAUUCCAGCUCCCACCUGUGUGGUGUUCCAUUGGAUGACUGUGCCUUAUUUAGGAGUCACCUGCCUAUGCUAUGGUCAAGGUGCCCUUUCCAAUUUUUU
ensembl:lncRNA